CUUUAAAAUUGCAUAAUGGAGCUGUAAGACCCCCUUUCGGGGACCCCCACUCUAGUCUCAGGAGAGAGAGUGCACCCAAAGAAACACAGGAACCC
rnacentral:pre_miRNA from 7 species